CUUUAUCAGGGGGAUAGCCUUUCGAAAGGAAGAUUAAUACCCCAUAAUAUGAGAGACGGCAUCGUUUUUUAUUGAAAACUGAGGUGGAUAGAGAUGGGCACGCGCAAGAUUAGAUAGUUGGUGAGGUAACGGCUCACCAAGUCGAUGAUCUUUAGGGGGCCUGAGAGGGUGAUCCCCCACACUGGUACUGAGACACGGACCAGACUCCUACGGGAGGCAGCAGUGAGGAAUAUUGGACAAUGGGUUAGCGCCUGAUCCAGCCAUCCCGCGUGAAGGACGACGGCCCUAUGGGUUGUAAACUUCUUUUGUACAGGGAUAAACCUACUCUCGUGAGAGUAGCUGAAGGUACUGUACGAAUAAGCACCGGCUAACUCCGUGCCAGCAGCCGCGGUAAUACGGAGGGUACAAGCGUUAUCCGGAUUUAUUGGGUUUAAAGGGUCCGUAGGCGGACUCGUAAGUCAGUGGUGAAAUCUCACAGCUCAACUGUGAA
rnacentral:rRNA from 1 species